AUACAGAGGGUGCGAGCGUUAAUCGGAAUUACUGGGCGUAAAGCGCGCGUAGGCGGUCUAUUAAGUCAGAUGUGAAAUCCCAGGGCUCAACCUUGGAACUGCAUCUGAUACUGGUAGACUAGAGUUUUGGAGAGGGAAGUAGAAUUUCAGGUGUAGCGGUGAAAUGCAUAGAGAUCAGAAGGAAUACCAGUGGCGAAGGCGACUUCCUGGCCAAAAACUGACGCUGAGGUGCGAAAGCGUGGGUAGCAAACGGGAUUAGAAACCCUAGUAGUCC
rnacentral:rRNA from 1 species